GGGUGGCCCCUCCUUUUUCCCUGCGGAGCGCCUGCUGUGAAGUUAGGUGGUAAGGCGCUCAGGACUGCGGGGUGUGCCGCAGCCCCAGCGCGGUUGGGGGUGCGCCGCGGCUUUUUCCCUGCGCUUGGCCGUUCGGGAGGGUCGCCCGCGGCGCCGCUCGCGUAGUACUCGAGGAUGGAGCUGGCAGGUAUGAUGGAGAGGAGGUUUUCUGUUGUGUCCAGUACAUUGUGCAUUAAGCACUUCAUGGAAGCACUAUCACAUGUAGAAGAAUACUUGUUGCACACAAGUGGAUUUUCCUGAAAGCUAUAGUGCAUGAACAGUUUCUAGUAAUUGGAAUGUGAGGCAUCCUGAAGAUUUCCUGGCAACAGGAAUUACAACAGGUAGAGGAAAAUGGGCCAAAAUGUAGGAACUUACUUUUAGAAGCUUUUAGCUUACUCAGUGAUGAGCUGGACACUUUGUCAGAGCUGUCUGACAAAUGUGGAUGAUCAGUAACCAGGAAGAAGUUACACCUGAAAAGUUUUUGUGGCUUGGAGUGGGAUGCUGUGCUUUUACAACCUGCUGAAACAGCUGCUGCAACUUUGUUUAGUAGAUGCUGUUUUCAGAAACUGCAUAUAGACCAAAAUCACUGUCUGCAUGUCUAAAAUAGUGCCUUACUAAAAUAUUACGCUGCCCUCUCUAGGAAGGAUAGCAGCAAAAUUAGCGAAAUGAAUGUUGAGCAUUAAUACGUGGAAAACCCCCUGAGCAGUUACCCUUUUAAAAUACUGUAUUGGUUACACGCUCUGAUACUGAAAAUCUGCGAUAACUCAGGACAACAGAGCUCACAUGCGAGCCCUGUGAAGACAAGGGAGAGCAAAAUGAGUACACAAAUGCAAACCAAGGAGUCUGCGUUUUGAGGGUGAUGUCAUCCAGGAAAUGGGAGAAAGUAUAGAAGGUAAUGGUGUUAUGGAAGCAUAAACCUGAAACACUUGUAAGAAAGAAAAAUACAAUGUCUGCAGAUCGCAUCAUAGUUUGUAUCAGUUGAGGAACCAAGGAGUUGGGUUUUUAUUGACUGCCACUUAAGCAUGGAAAGACUAGUACUGUAACAGUGAAACUGCUCCUUGAGGAACACUGGCAAUAUUAGCUGCUUGCAGUGUGGGGAGAAGAGGUCAGUGGUGGGAAAAGAGACCACAUACACUAGAACUUGUGCUUUAGACAGUCACUUGAAAAGUACCAGUGCUGUAUCACAGUAGCAGCAUAUUUGCUGUAUUUGUCAAAUUGUCACUCUUCCACAGAGGAAUGAAGGCUCAUAAAUUGGUCACCAAGUAAAUUGGAUUUUCAAGAUGACUAUGUAUGACUCCAUCUGCCUUAAAAUGUCAAGUCUAAUUGUCAGAAAUGCUUUAUGAAGGAAGAAGCACGAGAAUGGCAUAAUAACUAACAAUUAAAAGAGCUACAGUUACUGAAUCAUUUUGAAAUGCACCAAAAUACAUAAAAACAACCCUAAAGUCUGCAGCCAAAAAUAACAGCAUUGGGUGCUAGCAGCUCUCUAGAGAAAUUCCUAUAACUCAUGGAGUGUGCCUGUGAUAAGGGACAAAUACCAUGUAAAGCCCAAUUUUCUGCCUGAGCAGUAUGAAGUGCAAGACACUACCAGGAACAGUACAUGAACUAUUGAAAUUUAAAGUAAGUGUCCAAUAGAUUACUAAAAUGUAUGCUAAGGUACUGACAAAAUUCCAGGUGUGUAUUGCCUCACUGAGCAUCUCCUAUAGUUUAUUAUUGUUAAUAAGCAGUGACCAGCUGCUUUUCAGCAAGCAGCUGUAAAUCAGUCUCUUGAAUGUUGGAAUCUUCAGAAAUUUACUACAGAACAGCUUUCCCUUCAUCUCUUUCAACAGGCUUUAUUUCUGUGUUUCUCAGAAUGGUAGGUAUUUCCAUGUGCCAUGUUUUGUACAUGCUUUCUCUUGAAUAAAGAUGAGGAUGUGAAAAACUUGCCUGUUGCCCAUCAGGUGUGUAUCACACCACAGUGUUCCCUGACUGCUUGUUAAUUGCAAGAGCUACGAAGGCAAUGUGGCCUUGUGCUGCUUUUGCAGCAUGUACUGGACACAUGAUCCACAUAGUGUUUAAAUGAUGCCAGGACAACAAACUUGGUAAUCCCAUACUUCAGAAUUGGGAAGGGACUGGUCUCCAUCUGCCCACUGCAGUUCUGUGAAAAGUCUGGGUGCUGUUGGCAGCAUCUGGUGAAGCUGCUUGGAUGGUAAGUCUGGAAGUUGCUAGUCUGAGCUAGGUCUGUCUUAUGGAGGUUGAAAAGAUGCAAAGGACAGGGAUGCUUAAUACGACAGCAAUAUUUGGUAAGUACUUUGUUAGAUACUCAAAAGGAUUUGCAUGACUUCGUUGUGGGGUCAGAAGAGUGUUUUGGACUAAAGGUACCAUCUUUUUAUCCUUUGGGCUAAUAAUACAAAAUGAGAAAGCUCUUAAGGAGAUAAUGCCAUUUGUACAUCCAGUAAAAUUAAUUUGCCUCACUUUUCAGAAAAAGGUAGAUGUGGCCAGUGAUGAGGCAUAUUGGAUACUGAGCUGCAAAACUCUAUGAAUGUUCCUGUAUGGCCACAGAAAAUGGGUCGUGGAUGAAAAAUGUGUAUUAGUCUAGAAAGUCUGGUAUUUGCAAACAUGAACAAAUGUUUUAACCAUGAUACUCCAGAGGUUUUGGAAUGUGGGACUAACGAAAGUGAUGCAAGAAGGUCGUUUUUGUAACCAGUUUUAAAAUGGCAAGUAGCUUUUUUGCUUUGUGGGAGAGAGAUAACAUUUGUAAACCACUUGUGGAUUUAGUUCUGGUGUGGUUUUUGGAGUGAUGUUUUAUACAAGUGAUUGAGAUGGGGAGUAAUUGUGAAGGGUUACUCUUGAUACAUUUGGAACACGUGGCAUGAGAUUUCUCUGUGCAAAAGCACUUCAUUAAACUUCAGUUUUACAAAA